rnacentral:misc_RNA from 1 species
AAAUGCGAUAAGUAGUGUGAAUUGCAGAAUUCAGUGAAUCAUCGAAUCUUUGAACGCACAUUGCGCCCCUUGGUAUUCCAUGGGGCAUGCCUGUUCGAGCGUCAUUUGUACCUUCAAGCUUUGCUUGGUGUUGGGUGUUUGUCUCGCCUCUGCGUGUAGACUCGCCUCAAAACAAUUGGCAGCCGGCGUAUUGAUUUCGGAGCGCAGUACAUCUCGCGCUUUGCACUCAUAACAACGACGUCCAAAAGUACAUUUUUACACUCUUGACCUCGGAUCAGGUAGGGAUACCCGCUGAACUUAAGC